UCGGGCGUGGUGUACGGCACACGCUCCCCUCUUCUAGCACGGCAUGUAACGAAUGAGUGGGAGAGAGCCGGGUUCGAUUCCUGGCGCCCGGA